UGGCAUGCUUUUAGACUUAACACAAAAAUCAUAAUUCUUUCCUCUCUUCCUUCCUUGUGGCCGGCCAUCAUCAUCAUCAUUCCUAACCUUCACCAAACUUUCAUUUCUUGUCCAAAUCAUUCCAUUUUAGGCUUGUUGGAAACAUAUGAUUGCAAGGAUCAUAUUCUCUAAGGGCGCGCGAAUUGUAGAAUUGCGCGAGUAUCGUUUUGUUUAAGGGCGAGAGCGACGGAUGUUGUUUGCAUAGUGUAAGUUGGUUGUCGGAAGCUUGCACGAGACGAUGGUUUCCCGUCUGAGAUUGUGGGUCGUGAGGACGGCGAGGACUUCGUGGAGUAUGCGGAAGAUUAGAUUGUAGCUUUUGUUAGGCUUAAGGUCUAAUUCAUUCGGAUGACUGUAUUUUAUACUCAGACAUGUAAUCUUGUUUUGUAAAAUUAUUUAGGUACACACUUGCUUUUCGGAAGCCCUGUAAUACAAUAUUCAGUAUUGUAUAUUAUAUCUGUUUGUGUGAUAUAAUGAUUGAGCUACCUAAGAGCAUUCACGCAUGCUCCUUUUUAUUUAGCGUGUUGUUUUAAAGAAAAAAAAAUAAUACCCCUUUUUCGGUUUUAAAAAUCGAGGUGUUACAAUACUUGUAGUGCAACAUAUUUUUGCACUUAAAGGAAUUGAUAGGCAAGCUACGGACCUUUCACGAUCUUGUGCUGCUCAAUAAUCCGGCCAUUAAGCCAUGAGGAAUUGAGCCAAACACCGUGAUUCUUGACUAUGUGAGUUCCACUUCACUUCUCUUCUCUAGAACUUGUUUGCAUUCUUUUAGUUGGUUGAGAGCUAUGACUUAUGCACCGAGGCAAGUUGUUUGUUAACUUGAGCCUUGUAGCCUACCCUUGAAUAUUAUUAACCGUUGCUAGCCCCUUUGAGCCUUAUGAAAAGAAAUGUAUGGUGAUGCUACUUAUUUUUGAAAACCCACAAAAUUUUUACAAAACAAAGAAAAAAAGAUGAUUUUCUUGAAGCUAUCACCUAACUUGUGAUUAGAGCACAAUGCUCAUCAUUAAGUUUGGGGUUGCUCUUGGGAUUUGCAACCUAUGAAGUUUGGGGUGGGGUACUAGAGAACUAAAGAAAAAAAAAAGAGAUUUUUGAGAAGUCCCUCAUGAAAGAAAUGAAAUGGUAAAAAAAAAAAAAAAAGCUAAUGAAUAAAGAGAAUGCAAACGGCAUUAGACCAUGAUAAAGAAACUAUGUGUUGAGGGACUUAUUUGUGAAAACAAAAAGAGACAAAGAACAUUGAGCAUGGAUUGACUUCACGCCUUGUGAAGUCAUUUGCAUGAGGAAAAUGAUAUUUUGAAAAAAAUGAAGUUCUCUAGUAUGAAAGUGAUGAAUUUUGGGGGGGGGGGGGGAGCUAUCCACUUUGUUUGACAUAGGUGAUGUUACAAGCUUCAAGUUUUUCUACCUACUUUCCCAAAACCAUCCACCCUUCAAUAACCUAGCCCCGUUACAACCCGAAAGUCCUCAAAAGGUGCAAAGUCGUUGCUCGUUGAUCGAUUAUUAGAAUUCUUACAAGCUUAUGGUUGAAAGGGUUGUGAGAGUGUUGAUAAGAGUGAAUACCCUUAAACAGUUGAGAGAAGGUGAGCGUGUGAAGUGAUUAUUGAGUUGGUACAAGAUUGUGAAAAAGUCUAGUAAUUGCCUUGAUUGAACUUGAGGUAAAGAAAAGUUGCAUUGCCGGUGGAUCAUUGAACUGUCCAGGUAUGUUCUUAGUCAAUUGUGACUUAAGUAUUGCAAGGAUGCUGUCAAAUGUUUGUGUUUGUGCAUAGGUUAAACAUAGUUCCUUGAGGACAAGCAACGAUUCAAGUUUGGGGUUGUGAUGACGCUUAGUCAUUACAAGUCAAUCCAAGCUAAUUCAAGGCAAAAACUAGGAAAUUAUGUAAGAUUUUGGUCUAAAUCAUGGAAAAUCGCAUGCCAUGAAGGAUGGAGUGCUGAACAAGAAAAGUAGUAUAUGCUUGGUUGUGGACCUGCGCGCGGCGCAGCUAUAGCUGCGUCCGGCGCAAUUAUGCUACUUUAGCAGAUGGUUUCUUGCUGCUCUCUGCGUCCGGCGCAGGAAGGCUGCGUCCGGCGCAGCAAGUAUGGCGUCCGGCGCAGGAGGUGCUGCGUCCGGCGCAAUUCAAGGAAAUAGAAAGCAGUUUUGUGGCUGUUGGCUGCGUCCGGCGCAGCAGAUCCUGCGCGCGGCGCAGUGGAUCUGACAGGAUGAAAACUUUAAAUAGGAACCUGAUCAGCUGGGAAAAAGGUUACGAAAUUUGGUGUACUUUUGAAGAAUUAAAGCUCAGAUCCAAGGAUUUACUCCAAGAUUCCAUUGAAGCUUGAAGUUCUAUCCACCAUGCUUGCAUCUUCAUUUUUCAUGGCAGUUUCUAGAUCAAUGAUGUGUAACUAAACUCCAUGAUUGGAGCUUGAGGGGAGUCCAUUCCACCUCAAUUGAACAAUGUGAAUAUUUGUUUCUUUCUAUAUGAAUUUGUAUUGAGUUUCA